rnacentral:rRNA from 1 species
CAGUCGCCGCGGUAAUGCAGAGGAUGCAAGCGUUGUCCGGAAUUAUUGGGCGUAAAGGGCUCGCAGGCGGUUUCUUAAGUCUGAUGUGAAAGCCCCCGGCUCAACCGGGGAGGGUCAUUGGAAACUGGGGAACUUGAGUGCAGAAGAGGAGAGUGGAAUUCCACGUGUAGCGGUGAAAUGCGUAGAGAUGUGGAGGAACACCAGUGGCGAAGGCGACUCUCUGGUCUGUAACUGACGCUGAGGAGCGAAAGCGUGGGGAGCGAACAGGAUUAGAUACCCCAGUAGUCCCUGUCUCUUAUAC